GACGAACGCUGGCGGCGUGCCUAACACAUGCAAGUCGAACGGAGUAAGUAGCAAUACUUACUUAGUGGCGAACGGGUGAGUAACGCGUAGACAACCUGCCUCUAAACUGGGGACAACACCGCGAAAGUGGUGCUAAUACCGAAUGUGGUAACUUGGUCGCAUGACUAAGCUAAGAAAGAUGGCCUCUACAUGUAAGCUAUCGAUUAGAGAUGGGUCUGCGUCUGAUUAGAUAGUUGGUGAGGUAAUGGCUCACCAAGGCGACGAUCAGUAGCCGGUCUGAGAGGAUGAACGGCCACACUGGGACUGAGACACGGCCCAGACUCCUACGGGAGGCAGCAGUGGGGAAUCUUCCGCAAUGGACGAAAGUCUGACGGAGCAACGCCGCGUGAGUGAAGAAGGUUUUCGGAUCGUAAAGCUCUGUCGUUUGGGACGAACGUAUCUUGCGUGAAUAAUGCAGGGUAAUGACGGUACCAAAGGAGGAAGCCACGGCUAACUACGUGCCAGCAGCCGCAGUAA
rnacentral:rRNA from 1 species